rnacentral:rRNA from 1 species
GAACGCUAGCUACAGGCUUAACACAUGCAAGUCGAGGGGCAGCAUGGUCUUAGCUUGCUAAGGCCGAUGGCGACCGGCGCACGGGUGAGUAACACGUAUCCAACCUGCCGUCUACUCUUGGACAGCCUUCUGAAAGGAAGAUUAAUACAAGAUGGCAUCAUGAGUCCGCAUGUUCACAUGAUUAAAGGUAUUCCGGUAGACGAUGGGGAUGCGUUCCAUUAGAUAGUAGGCGGGGUAACGGCCCACCUAGUCUUCGAUGGAUAGGGGUUCUGAGAGGAAGGUCCCCCACAUUGGAACUGAGACACGGUCCAAACUCCUACGGGAGGCAGCAGUGAGGAAUAUUGGUCAAUGGGCGAGAGCCUGAACCAGCCAAGUAGCGUGAAGGAUGACUGCCCUAUGGGUUGUAAACUUCUUUUAUAAAGGAAUAAAGUCGGGUAUGGAUACCCGUUUGCAUGUACUUUAUGAAUAAGGAUCGGCUAACUCCGUGCCAGCAGCCGCGGUAAUACGGAGGAUCCGAGCGUUAUCCGGAUUUAUUGGGUUUAAAGGGAGCGUAGAUGGAUGUUUAAGUCAGUUGUGAAAGUUUGCGGCUCAACCGUAAAAUUGCAGUUGAUACUGGAUAUCUUGAGUGCAGUUGAGGCAGGCGGAAUUCGUGGUGUAGCGGUGAAAUGCUUAGAUAUCACGAAGAACUCCGAUUGCGAAGGCAGCCUGCUAAGCUGCAACUGACAUUGAGGCUCGAAAGUGUGGGUAUCAAACAGGAUUAGAUACCCUGGUAGUCCACACGGUAAACGAUGAAUACUCGCUGUUUGCGAUAUACAGCAAGCGGCCAAGCGAAAGCGUUAAGUAUUCCACCUGGGGAGUACGCCGGCAACGGUGAAACUCAAAGGAAUUGACGGGGGCCCGCACAAGCGGAGGAACAUGUGGUUUAAUUCGAUGAUACGCGAGGAACCUUACCCGGGCUUAAAUUGCAGAUGAAUUACGGUGAAAGCCGUAAGCCGCAAGGCAUCUGUGAAGGUGCUGCAUGGUUGUCGUCAGCUCGUGCCGUGAGGUGUCGGCUUAAGUGCCAUAACGAGCGCAACCCUUGUUGUCAGUUACUAACAGGUUCUGCUGAGGACUCUGACAAGACUGCCAUCGUAAGAUGUGAGGAAGGUGGGGAUGACGUCAAAUCAGCACGGCCCUUACGUCCGGGGCUACACACGUGUUACAAUGGGGGGUACAGAGGGCCGCUACCACGCGAGUGGAUGCCAAUCCCCAAAACCUCUCUCAGUUCGGACUGGAGUCUGCAACCCGACUCCACGAAGCUGGAUUCGCUAGUAAUCGCGCAUCAGCCACGGCGCGGUGAAUACGUUCCCGGGCCUUGUACACACCGCCCGUCAAGCCAUGGGAGCCGGGGGUACCUGAAGUGCGUAACCGCGAGGAGCGCCCUAGGGUAAAACUGGUGACUGGGGCUA